UCCAGUUUAUCACCGGCAGUCUCCCUAGAGUGCCCACCAUGACGUGAUGGCAACUAAGGAUAAAGGUUGCGCUCGUUGCGGGACUUAACCCAACACUUCACAGCACGAGCUGACGACAGCCAUGCAGCACCUGUGCAAUUGUCCCUUGCGGGAAGAUCCGCUUUCGCGGACUGUCAAAAGCAUGUCAAGCCUGGGUAAGGUUCUUCGCGUAGCCUCGAAUUAAACCACAUGCUCCACCGCUUGUGCGGGUCCCCGUCAAUUUCUUUGAGUUUCAGUCUUGCGACCGUACUCCCCAGGUGGUGGAUUUAAUGCGUUAGCGUCGGCACCGGGGGGAUCGACACCCCCGACACCUAAUCCACAUCGUUUACGGCAAGGACUAC
rnacentral:misc_RNA from 1 species